rnacentral:rRNA from 1 species
CUCGUAGGCGGUCCGUCGCGUCGGGAGUGAAAACUCGGGGCUCAACCCCGAGCCUGCUUUCGAUACGGGCGGACUAGAGGUAGGUAGGGGAGAACGGAAUUCCUGGUGUAGCGGUGGAAUGCGCAGAUAUCAGGAGGAACACCGGUGGCGAAGGCGAUUCUCUGGGCCUUACCUGACGCUGAGGAGCGAAAGCGUGGGGAGCGAACA